GGCCCUGUAACUCAAUGGCUUAGAGUGCUAUCCUCCGGAGAUAGAAGUUCCAGGUUCGAGUCCUGGCAGGGUCG
rnacentral:tRNA from 1 species